rnacentral:rRNA from 1 species
AGAGUUUGAUCCUGGCUCACAACGAACGCUGGCGGCAGGCCUAACACAUGCAAGUCGAGGGGGAAGCUAUUUUCGGAUAGUGGAGACCGGCGCACGGGUGAGUAACGCGUGGGAACCUACCCUGGGGUGGGGGAUAACUGCUGGAAACGGCAGCUAAUACCGCAUACGCCUUGAGAGGGAAAGAUUUAUUGCCCUGGGACGGGCCCGCGUUGGAUUAGCUUGUUGGUGAGGUAAAGGCUCACCAAGGCUACGAUCUAUAGCUGGUCUGAGAGGAUGAUCAGCCACACUGGGACUGAGACACGGCCCAGACUCCUACGGGAGGCAGCAGUGGGGAAUAUUGGACAAUGGGGGCAACCCUGAUCCAGCCAUGCCGCGUGCGUGAAGAAGGCCUUAGGGUUGUAAAGCGCUUUCACCGGUGAAGAUGAUGACGGUAGCCGGAGAAGAAGCCCCGGCUAACUCCGUGCCAGCAGCCGCGGUAAUACGGAGGGGGCAAGCGUUGUUCGGAAUGACUGGGCGUAAAGGGCGCGUAGGCGGAUGUGUAAGUUGGGGGUGAAAGGCCUGGGCUCAACCUGGGAAUUGCCUCCAAAACUACACGUCUUGAGAUCGGAAGAGGAUGGCGGAAUUCCCAGUGUAGAGGUGAAAUUCGUAGAUAUUGGGAAGAACACCGGUGGCGAAGGCGGCCAUCUGGUCCGACACUGA